rfam:Homo sapiens chromosome 2, GRCh38 reference primary assembly.
GCCAGGUGUGGUGGUGCACACCUGUAAUCCCAGCUACUUGGGAGGCUGAGACAGAAGACUCGCUUGAACCCGGGAGGCAGAGAUUGCAAUGAGCCAAGAUCAUGCCACUGCACUCCAGCCUGGGUGACAGAGUGAGACCCUGUCUCCA